rnacentral:lncRNA from 1 species
AAAGAAAUCGCACUUAAUGUAGAAAUAGAACAACAAAAUAUUAAUGAUGUCAAUAAUAAACCACCAAAGAAAAGACAUGUAGCUGACGACAAGAAAUUAAAAUCACGGUCAAUGAAUAGCAUCAAGUCACAAUGAAACUCAAUCAAGUCCCAGUGAGGCUGCGUCAAGCUGUUACAGAUAAGAAAUCAAAAUAAGAACGCAGAACAAAUAAAAUAUUUGGCAGAAAAUAUAAUCAAUAGAUGCAAAAAUGUGGAAUCAGAUCCAAUGUAAACAUGUGUGUCGGUAAACCCAGGGGAACGUUUUGUCUACAUUCGAGUGGAAGGAACAAAGUGUGAAUUGAUGAUUUGAUGAUGGAAUCGGUAAUAGUUUGAAUUAGGGAUAGCGGCAGAUAAGAGCGGCCAAUGGAAGGAACAAAGUGUGAAUUGAUGAUUUGAUGGUGGAAUCGGUAAUAGUUUGAAUUAGGGAUAGCGGCAGAUAAGAGCGGUCAAUGGAAGAAACAAAGUGGGUAGCAGCGGCCAGUGGCUAGGGUUCCUGUCCAGACCCUGUCAACUAACAUAUAUAUAGCAUUGUGCAAC